rnacentral:rRNA from 1 species
AGUGAACGCUGGCGGUAGGCCUAACACAUGCAAGUCGAACGGCAGCACAGUAAGAGCUUGCUCUUACGGGUGGCGAGUGGCGGACGGGUGAGGAAUACAUCGGAAUCUACUUUUUCGUGGGGGAUAACGUAGGGAAACUUACGCUAAUACCGCAUACGACCUACGGGUGAAAGCAGGGGAUCUUCGGACCUUGCGCGAUUGAAUGAGCCGAUGUCGGAUUAGCUAGUUGGCGGGGUAAGGGCCCACCAAGGCGACGAUCCGUAGCUGGUCUGAGAGGAUGAUCAGCCACACUGGAACUGAGACACGGUCCAGACUCCUACGGGAGGCAGCAGUGGGGAAUAUUGGACAAUGGGCGCAAGCCUGAUCCAGCCAUACCGCGUGGGUGAAGAAGGCCUUCGGGUUGUAAAGCCCUUUUGUUGGGAAAGAAAAGCAGCAGGUUAAUACCCCGCUGUUCUGACGGUACCCAAAGAAUAAGCACUGGCUAACUUCGUG